AAGCGUUUAUGACCAGACUUUUUCCCGGCGGAUCAUCCGGCCUUUUGGCCGGUGCACUUCGCCGGGUCGAGGCCAGCAUCGGUUCCAGCGGGGGGAUAAAGGCUUCGGGAACGUGGCUCUUCGGAGUGUUAUAGCCCGUUGCGUAAUACCCUCGUGGGGACCGAGGUACGCGCAUCGCAAGGAUGCUGGCGUAAUGGUCAUCAACGA
rnacentral:rRNA from 1 species